rnacentral:rRNA from 1 species
CAGCAGCCGCGGUAAUACGAAGGGGGCUAGCGUUGCUCGGAAUCACUGGGCGUAAAGGGUGCGUAGGCGGGUCUUUAAGUCAGGGGUGAAAUCCUGGAGCUCAACUCCAGAACUGCCUUUGAUACUGAAGAUCUUGAGAAUGGGAGAGGUGAGUGGAACUGCGAGUGUAGAGGUGAAAUUCGUAGAUAUUCGCAAGAACACCAGUGGCGAAGGCGGCUCACUGGCCCAUAACUGACGCUGAGGCACGAAAGCGUGGGGAGCAAACAGGAUUAGAUACCCCUGUAGUCCCUGUCUCUUAUAC